GCUCAGGAUGAACGCUAGCUACAGGCUUAACACAUGCAAGUCGAGGGGUAGCAGGGUAGCAAUACCGCUGACGACCGGCGCACGGGUGAGUAACACGUAUCCAACCUUCCCAUGACUCAGGGAUAGCCUUUCGAAAGAAAGAUUAAUACCUGAUAGUACUUAUUAAAGGCAUCUUUGAUAAGUUAAAGAUUUAUCGGUUAUGGAUGGGGAUGCGUUCCAUUAGAUAGUUGGUGAGGUAACGGCUCACCAAGUCUUCGAUGGAUAGGGGUUCUGAGAGGAAGGUCCCCCACAUUGGUACUGAGACACGGACCAAACUCCUACGGGAGGCAGCAGUGAGGAAUAUUGGUCAAUGGGCGAGAGCCUGAACCAGCCAA
rnacentral:rRNA from 1 species